rnacentral:rRNA from 1 species
GAUGAACGCUGGCGGCGUGCUUAACACAUGCAAGUCGAACGGAAAGGCCACAGCUUGCUGUGGUACUCGAGUGGCGAACGGGUGAGUAACACGUGGGUGAUCUGCCCUGUACUUCGGGAUAAGCUUGGGAAACUGGGUCUAAUACCGGAUAGGAAUCACAUGUGGGUGUGUGGUUGGAAAGCUUUUGCGGUAUGGGAUGAGCUCGCGGCCUAUCAGCUUGUUGGUGGGGUAAUGGCCUACCAAGGCGUCGACGGGUAGCCGGCCUGAGAGGGUGUACGGCCACAUUGGGACUGAGAUACGGCCCAGACUCCUACGGGAGGCAGCAGUGGGGAAUAUUGCACAAUGGGCGCAAGCCUGACGCAGCGACGCCGCGUGGGGGAUGACGGCCUUCGGGUUGUAAACUCCUUUCGUCAGGGACGAAGCGAAAGUGACGGUACCUGGAUAAGAAGCACCGGCUAACUACGUG